GUGUGACUGCUCCUGAGUAUUUUGAAACCACUGUGGUGUUUGCAAUGUGAUAGCUCUGGGGGUAUUUUCAUGCACAGCCUGCUGCCAUCACAGUAUCACCCAGAGGCGAGGGGAGAGAGCUGGAUGAGCCAAUGCAACGACAGGUUUUAUGCCUUUACUGACUCUGAGCUCGAGCUGAAAUCAAAGAGCAGCCAGCUGUCAUGAACUCUUCCAUGGGAGGUGCCUGAGAUAACAUUUCUCCCAAAAAACUCCAUUUCAGAAUGUCUCAACAUUCAGCAUUAUUCAGAGUUCUCCCCACCUGAGAGACUCACCAGGGCUGGUGCUGCUCAUGCAGCUGUGUGCAGCUACAACAGUAGGAGUGAGCUCUGUUGGGAACAGAGAAGUGACUCCUGGACCUUUCUCUGCUCCCGUGAGAAAAGCAAGCCUUGGAAGAGACCCUCAGAAAGCUUUCCUGGUGACACCCCAACAAGGGAUGAGGAGGAACAAGGAAGGAGCUUGUUUUCUGGACAAUUCACCCAUUAGAGUCUGUUUGCUGAGCCCAUUAAGUGGCUAUUUUCUGUUACCUUGAAUUCUGAAGCCAUGGGAAACAACUGAUGGGGAUUAUUUGAGCCCUCCCACACAGGUUCAUGGAUGCAGAAUCCUCCUGUUUCCAUGCUGGCCAUCAGGACCUUAUCCUGUCAAGUUUCAACAAGUUCAGUAGAGAGCUAACAUUGUUACAGGAUUUUGGUUCCUAGACCAAGAAUUGAAAAAGAGAUUUGUCUGAGAGAGAAUAGAGAAUGGAGGAAUUUUUUGUCACCUUUCCCCCCCCUUUCUCUUUUUGGUGAAAGACAACAUGGAAAAUGUCAAGAAGUGUAUACAGGAAAAUGAUAGAUCUUAAGAAAUCUGUCCCUACUGGAAAAAAUACUUUUGCUUCCAAGAGAAGUCAAAGUAAAAUUUUGAAAGGCACUUACCUGACUUUCAAGGACUAUAAACUCCUAGAGGUCCUCUGGCUUUGGAAAAAUGUGUCUGAAUCCUCUGUAGUUCAGAAAUAAAACUUUCAUUUGGAUGAGGAUGAUUUCCCCUCUGAAGAAGGAGCAGGCACCCACCCCACUGCCUUGUUCACCAUCCCUUGCUACAAGAUGGGAAAACACUAAUAAGCACAGAAUAUGCCUGAUCCAUCUUGGCCUUUCCCUCUCCUCAUUCUUUUGAUGCUGAGUGCUUCCAGUUGUGCCAGUCUGUAAACUCUCAGCAGUAUUUUGUAUUUUCCUUCAGUCUCUCUCUCCCUCUCUGUAAGAUUUCACCAGCCUAUUAGUGUUAGAAUGUGUUUAUUAAAUCCAGAUAUCUAUUUAUCUAUUGCUCUAUCUUUAUUCAAUUCAUAUACAUGUAUGUCUGCUGAGGCAUGGUCCUGAGUAUAAUGUUCCAUUAGAGUGAAAUGUUUACAUAAAGGAAACUGAGGAGUUUAGCUAUUAUAAACCUGGACACUGUCAGUUUACUUACAAGAAUGUCACAUGCAGCCCGUGGCCAACCUUCAAAUGAGACCCUAUCACAUCUCUUCUUUCAUAUCUGUGCCUUUAUGUCUUCACUUGUGACCCAUCACAGACUUAUUGUGGAUUAGUUCAGAUGCAACAAGAAUCUUAAUAUCAGUGAGUAGCAUCGUUAUUGGAAAUACCCUGUGUCUGUGCAGGGUGAGUAUCAGACCAUUCCUUUUUUCUUUGAGAGGAUACCUAUUCCCAUAAACCCAGAAAAUUAUCACGCAUUCUGUAACAUCUGUCUCUCCCUCAGAAAUAACUUUGCAUACAAGAAAUAUUUUUUUUUUUACUUAUUGAAAAAAAAGGCCUCAUGGCAAACCCUCAGUCCCCAUCUAUGGAAAGUAAGGAAGGAUUCGAGAAGGAUUAGAUUAGCAGAAAGGGCUGUUAGAUGAACCAGAGGUACCUACCAUAUGGAAAGCAAUUUGGAAAUACCUGCCUUUUCCUACAAGCUGGAUUCCCUGCUCUGGGAAAACCCAGUUUAUUUUUAGAUCCUGUAAAUAACAAGAUGUUGAGUGACCACCAAAGAUAGGCACUGCUCUGUUUCAAACCCUGCCAGCUAGCCAUACUCAUUUCCAGAGUAACUCCUAGCACAGUCACAAGCUGGUGUGAUUUUAAACAUAAGCGCUUGGCUGUGACCAGCAAUGCCUUCAGCUGAGAGGGAAAUCCAUCCUUUUCCCCCGGUCCCCCUGCCGGAGGCUGCUGAUCGCAGGGCGGCUCUCGCUCCCGGCAGCGAUGCUCCUGCCUGCCCACGGCAGCCCAGCUCCCUCCUGCCUCACCCCCUGAAAGCAGCAGAGCUCUAAUGACCUCCCAUGCACUUACAUCUAACAGAUACGUUUUUGAAAACAGAAUCGGACCUCACACAUCUACGACCACUUUAAAAGGCUUCUCACUGCACCUUCUGCUCUCUGUUCUCUACACUCAAGUGGAAGAAUGGUACAAAGCCCCCUCUCUCACUGCCCUUUUCACCCAAUUCCUCCCAACAGCAAGAAAAUCUUAGAAGAGCCAAAGGAAAGCUAAAGAAACAACUCUGAGUCCUGUCUGCCCAGGGAACAGUUUCCACAUCUAGCUUUUGCUGCUGCUAGAGGGCUGGGUGCAGUUUUACUAUCACUUCUCUCCCUCUGUGACCUCUGCUUUCCAUGGAUCCAUGUGGAUUUUGCUGGUUGACUCAGGCCAGUCAAUGGGAGAAUCCUUCCAUUACCAAUUUCCAAAGACUGUCCUUCUUUCUAUCUGAUACUCAUCAAUUCAUGAAAAGGGGAAAAAAAAUUUUAAAAACCUCAUGGAAUCAGUCUUGGUUCACUUCUUCUUUCUUUGUUACUCCACCCAUCAGUUGUAUAGACUGUCUUUUAUUGAACAGCGUUGGCUGAGUCAUGUAAGGACAAAUUUGCAGGGAUGCAUUGGACACAUCAUGUGUCACAAAAGGUGCAUGGUCAGAGGCUGAAGACAAACACGUGCAUCGCUGACAGCUUACUGGGGUUGUCCACAGUUGCACUGGUUAAUGUGUAUAGUCAAAAUUGGGCAAGAGCAUAAAGGCUCUUCACACUAAAAUAAACAAAAGCUCAUGGUAAUGAGCCAUAAUAUCCCACCUUAGCUGGUACACCUUUGUACCAUCUCUGGAACUGAGAGCUGUGAUGAUGUCCUACACCUCUGGACACAGAGAACAAAGCCAAAAGGGCUGCUCUGUUCUUAGAUAAGUCAGUAAUAAAGAGGGAGAUUACUUGGGAGGUUUUAAUCAUUGAUUCAGAAAAGCUUGGAUAUAAAUCAAAUUUAUGAAUUAUGCCCCAUGAACAUUGCUGGGGCAGUGCUCAUGUUGAGACAUUUUACACCAUAUCAGGCAUUACCUGUCUGUGCCUUUUGCUUGGUGCCAUACCAGUUGUGCAAAGCCAGCAAAGCAUCUGCUGGGUGUUCUGUGGAAUCCAGUGGGACCACAACCAUGAGGCCAUGCCCAGUCUGGGAGUGCCCAAUGACACCUGAGUUACUGUCCAUUACUUACUCUAAUUGUGACUUCUUCAAAUAAAUAAUUCAAUAAGUUAUUUUGUGAAAGUAGACCAAAAAGACAGCUACUAUCCAUUUACACACCACUAGAGGAGCACAGCACACCUCUAUCCAUGAUCUCCUUUGCUUUGUUACAAUCCCCUCCUUCCCAGCAGCCAUGUUCAGGGCUCUCUCAGUCCAGCACCACCUGAAGCCAAAUGGGUUCUUGGAAAUGGUUUCCCUUCCCCAGAUGAAGACCUGAUGUACUGGUUGCUUCUUACAAACCUCAUCUCUUCCAUUAUUGCUCUCACUUUCACCUGCCCAUUGCUCCUUUUUAGUCAUCUCUUCCCUAAUACCUCUUUGGUGACUGGAAGAGAGCAGAAGCAGAGGAGAUGAUUCAUACAAAUUAAAUCAGGGGUUGAACUUAGUUCAGUUCUGCAUUUCUUUCUGAAACAGAAAAGGGGAAACUGCCAGCAGAGCCUCCUCAACCAGUCUAUUCUCUCACUGCCACCCCAAUACUACUUCUAUUUUCUGCAAGCCAUGAGAAUCACUGUAAAGGAGGUGGUGAUUUUUCUGUCAUUCUGAGCCCAAAGAAAGUCUCUGGCUUGGCUGCAUGUAAGGUGGCAAAUUUAAUUCUCUUCUCUUAACUGCUUCUUCACUAAAUCUAUGUUGCCUUCUAAUCUCCUGCAUCCCUGUAGAAAAGUCACGACUGAAGACUCAAGUUGUCAAAACAUCACUUGUCUUUUCCACCAACGCUGGUGGAAGCAUGGCUGUGCUGAGCCAGAGCGGAGUUGAGCGAGCUUUGAGAAAGUCCCUGUUUCCAAUUUAGCACAGCUCCCAGGAGGUAUUACAUUUCCUGGUGCAGAGCAGAAAACGCUUUGAGAUCCUCUAGCACAAAGCCUUGUUGUUUUAUUCAUUUGUACUGCUGAGCAAAUUCU